GCCUGGGUGGCUUAGCUGGUUAAGUGUCUGACUUCAGCUCAGAUCGUGAUCUCACAGUCCAUGAGUUCAAGCCCCACAUCGGGCU
rfam:Felis catus isolate Cinnamon breed Abyssinian chromosome E3, whole genome shotgun sequence.